rnacentral:rRNA from 1 species
UACGGAGGGUGCAAGCGUUAUCCGGAUUCACUGGGUUUAAGGGGUGCGUAGGCGGGCAGGUAAGUCAGUGGUGAAAUCUCCGGGCUUAACCCGGAAACUGCCGUUGAUACUAUCUGUCUUGAAUAUCGUGGAGGUAAGCGGAAUAUGUCAUGUAGCGGUGAAAUGCUUAGAUAUGACAUAGAACACCCAUUGCGAAGGCAGCUUACUACACGAUCAUUGACGCUGAGGCACGAAAGCGUGGGGAGCAAACAGG